GUCCAGUCCAAUUUAUAUAGUCCAAAAUAAAAAAUACAAAAAUAAAUCCUAUCUAACUUACGCUAAUCCUAACUACGCUCCCGUGCUUUACUCGAUGCCUCGGGCCUUCAUCAUGAUCUGUCUUCACCAACAUAAUACGCCGGGGCAUUCCCCGGUGAAUAAAUACAUGAAACCUCGGGGUAUUCCCCGGCUAAAUGAAUAUGUCUUCCAAAUGUGAGAAAAGAGAGUAAUUCAACAAACAUUCCACAUUAAUCAACAAUCCAUAAAUUUGCCUACCCUAAACUAAACUUUUGCCUAUUAAGAUUUCGGCCUAGAAUGUUAUCCUAUUGAAUUCACCAACUUGCUAUUUAUUUCGAUUAACCAAAACAACAAUCAACCAAAAUACACCCUUUUUAUCAGUUUUCAAUUUCGUCCCAAAUUGCCUUUAACACCAAAUUUCCCCGAUUAACGAUUAUCAUUUAUACCAUCCAGAAUCAAAGAACCCAACCACGAAUCAAACAAAGAUUAUGCAUCAAUAAAGAUUAAACAACGCAUAAUAUUCAAUUCAAUGCAUCGAAUAUGACAAAUAAAAAAAUAAAAUGAGUGAAGAUCAGAAUUGGACCUCAAUUGAUGAUCAAAAUCAAGUAUCACUCGAUCAAAAAGAUAAAAACCGCACCAAACAACCUCGAAUCAAACCCCAACAGCAAAACCUAGCUUCGAUUUACGCUCGUCACUUUGUUUUCCGCUAAUCUAAAAUAGAAUACGCAAUGAAUAGAGAAGACCCGUACCCGUUUCUUUCAGAACCGGCAAGUUUUUGAUAGAAAACAGUUGGAUUUGAACGAAUUUGGGCGAACGAAGAUGUUCUCCGGUGAGAAAUCGCCAGAGCAAUAGAAACAGAAGUGGGUUCUGGUGACUAAUCUAGGGAAUUUUCGAUGAGUGUUUCGCUCUUUUUGUUGCUCUUAUCAAUUCUGUUUCACUCUCCUCUCUCUUCGUCUAUCUCUCUCGCGUCUCUCUCCCUCAAUCUGCAUGAGCUUUGCGUCUGGCUGGCGUAUUGAUGGUGGGUUCUCUGGUGUGUAUGAGAAUUGAGACGUUGAGAGUGGUUCUUCUGUGUUGUUGAUUGUUGAUCUUUGCAUCUAGAAGAUGAGAGAAAAAAAGGAGUGAAUAUUACUGUGUGUGUGCCUGUCCUCCUUUUUUUUUGGUAUCUGAUGGUUGUAUAUUAGAAAGGGAAAAUGGAGUCCCCCCAAAAUCGUGUGGGUCCCCCUGGUUGUAUUCUUUUCCAAAUAAUGGAAGAAGAGUCCUGGGUAUCUCUUUUUUUUUGUAAUAUGUGGGCCCCUGGUUAUUUUUUUUAGUGGGGGUUGAUCAAGUUGGGGGAUCCGUGUUGAGUUCGUUGAAUCGAGGUCUUAAGUUCGUUGCCUUUGUUCGAACAAAUUCAGUGGAUGAAAUAAAAUCGAGGUCAAGACGGAAUAGACAAAUCUAAUUUGGGUAGGCAAAAGUAGGGAUUGUGUAUGGUUGAAUGAUUUGAAAUGUUUGUGGAAUGGUUUGUUUUUAUCGUAUUUCAUCAAAUGUAUUCAUUUAGCCGGGGAAUACCCCGAGGCUCAUUUUAUUUAUUCACCGGAGAAUGCCUCGACGUAUUAUGUUGGCGGAAGAUGUUCGUGAUCAAGGCCCGAAACAUUGGGUAAAGCAUUGGAGCGUAGUUUAGGAUUAGUGUAGGUUUACUUUUUAAGUACCUUUAUAUUUCGGAUUGUAAUAAUUGGACUGGACACUAUAUUUUUGGAUUGUUUUGUUUUGUUUUGUUUGUUUGA